AUUACUUUGGCAGAAUAGUGCAUUAAAUUUAGAAUUUAAUUAUGUAUAAUAUACAAGUAAUA
rnacentral:tRNA from 1 species